CCCCAUGCCCGGCCACUGGCACCCACCCGGGCUGGGUAUAGCGCCAGUGGCAGGUGUGUGGGGUCCUGCCACCCCAGGGUGAGGGAAGGUCUCUGCCUGCCACUCCGGGGUGUGGGGUGUUGCCGCUUGCUUGCUGUGUGGACUGAAGAAGGCACUGGCUGGCGAAAACUGUAAAUACUACUACUACUAACUACGACCGUCACCAUUACGACCAGCACUACUGCAACCACCAACUCAUACCAGGUUUAUCUAUAAGUGGUAUGAUAAAGAUUAUAUAUGGGCGAAACGUCGUCAAUACAGAUUUCAUACACG